UUUUUUUUUUUUUUUUUUUUUGAGGUAAACUCUUGAGAGUUAGUGGCAAAGUAGCCCAUUUUGCUCUACUUUUUUUUAAACAAAUACUCAAAACUCAUAUUCAUAUAUAUAUAUGCAUAUACAUACACACACACACACACACACACAUGUAUAUGUAUGUGUGUAUAAAAUUUAUUAGAAUGUCUUACAGACUGGUCUUGCUGGUCCAACAAUGGCUGUUUACCAACAGAAGUUCCAAGAAUCCAGUAGUUGUUAAAUCCAUGACACUUGAUGUUUCUCCACUGGUUAUUAGUUUAUGCAGAAUUCCAUAGAAGUAAGUUUAAUGCCAGUGAAGGAAUGGACUUGCCAGCCACAGAGAGAAAGCAAACAGUAAAGAGAGUUAAGUUUCCUUCUUUCCUGUUCUUUAUAUAGGCAGCUAACAGAAAGUGGGGCCAGACUAAAGGUGGAUCUUCCCUAAACCUCAAAAAAUACAGAUUACAAGUAGUGUUGACAUUUAGUCUAGGCUCUGUUCCAGUUACCUGGCAACAGCCAGGUGUGCCUGACUCACUAUAAAAGAGGCUGCUUGCCCCCUCCUCUCUCUCUUGCUCUCUCCUCUUGCUUCUGCUCCCCCUAUCUUCCCAUUCCUCUCCUCCCUCUCCACGUGCUCAUGGCCAGCCUCUACUACCCCCUGCCUUUCUCUCAAUUCCCCUCCCCAGUGCCUGAAUAAACUAUUCUAUCUUAUUCCAGGUCCUUCAAGAGAAGGAAUGCCUCAGCGUGGGCCCACAGAGGCAAGGUCUUACCCCACACCAUACCUCGCCUCUACCAAACAUAUUCCUUCCUCUUUAUUUUUUUUAUAAAACAUAACAAGUAGGUCUUCCUACUUCAAAUAACUUAUUUAAAAAAUCCUUCACAUAUGUACAGAGGGUCUUGGGUUUUGAUUAUUUCUAGAUAUAGUCAAGUUGACAACCAAGAAUGGCCAUCACACUAGGUACAGUGAUACAUAGGUAUCAUCAUGGUACACAGGAGAUAGAGGCAAAAGGAUCUGAAGUUUAGGCUUGUCCUUAGCUACCCUAAUAAAUUCAAGGGCAGCCUGAGAUACAUGAGGUUCUAUCUCAAAAAAAAAAGUCACAGAAAUUUAAAAUAACUACUUAGGGCACUGGAGAAUAAUCAGAAACACACAGAAGCUGAUGCCAAGUGGAUCAUUUGAAGAAGGAAACUUCAUUGGAAUGAAUUUUCUCUUUAUAUUGACUACUUACAUGAUAACUGUCCAGUCAGUAUUCACUCAUCAGACAAGCUUUCUUGGAUAGAAGCACAGAGUCUUGGAUUGAGAAAUCAGAAUUCAGAGUAGCUACCAUUCUUAGGAUCUGAGGGUAGGAAUCAGCCAGAAGCAAGAGGCUCCAAUUCUUCCUUCACAUAGACUCCACCAAACUUUAGGUAAGGCAGAAAAACUGAAGAGUCUCAGCUCUUUGUUGCCUACCAAGGUAAGACAGUUUGAAGUAUGAGUUGAACCACGAUAACUACUAAAAUUUAAAAACUAGAAUGCUUGGGCUGGAGAGAUAGUUUAGUAUUUAAAGUGCUUUGAGUUCUCCUAUACCCAUGUAAAGGCCAGGUGGGUAUGGCUGCUGGUUAUCUCAGACUGGGAAGACAGAAUAGCCAGAUUAGCUAUAUCCAUGGGUUCUGGAUUUUUAUCAAGAGACCUUGCCUCAAUGAAUAAGGUAGGAGAGCAAUGGAGGACGGUUCCCAGCAUCAACCUUAGACCGUUACACAAUUGCAUACACACACUCAAACCCAUGCAGACACCAAUACACACAUGUACAUCAUACACAGAUGUGACAAGAAAAUAGAAAUCAGACUUCUUUAUUAGAAUAUAACACAUUUCUGUAGAAUAGGAAAGUGCAUCUAUGUUUAGGCAAGAAAAAAAGGGGAAAUGUAACUGUUACUCAAGCAGGAGUCAACAUUUUUCCCAUAAACAGUUAUUUUUAGCUCAUUUGAUUUGUUGCAGCUUACACAACUCACUAUUGUAGAUGCAAAAGCAUGGAUAUAGCUGUAGCAAAAAAAAUAAUUUUACAAAAAAAGUCACUGGGUCCAAUUAAGCCUGUAGGCCAUAUUCUGCUCACCUUUGUUCAAAAGAAAAUAUAGUCAUUGAGACCCACCCCAAGACAGCCGAGAUACUGGAAUCAGCAGAGAAAGAUUUCAGAGUAGCUAUUA
rnacentral:lncRNA from 1 species